CAGUAGCCGCGGUAAUACGAGGGGGGCAAGCGUUGUUCGGAAUUAUUGGGCGUAAAGGGUGCGUAGGCGGUUUCUUAAGUCUGAUGUGAAAGCCCCCGGCUCAACCGGGGAGGGUCAUUGGAAACUGGGAAACUUGAGUGCAGAAGAGGAGAGUGGAAUUCCACGUGUAGCGGUGAAAUGCGUAGAGAUGUGGAGGAACACCAGUGGCGAAGGCGACUCUCUGGUCUGUAACUGACGCUGAGGAGCGAAAGCGUGGGGAGCGAACAGGAUUAGAUACCCCUGUAGUCCCUGUCUCUUAUAC
rnacentral:rRNA from 1 species